rnacentral:rRNA from 1 species
UCAAGUAAUUAAGUGCAUGUGGUGGAUGCCUUGGCAGUCAGAGGCGAUGAAAGACGUGAUAGCCUGCGAAAAGCUCCGGGGAGGCGGCAAAUAUCCUUUGAUCCGGAGAUGUCUGAAUGGGGGAACCCACCUACUUUAAGGUAGGUAUUGCAACAUGAAUACAUAGUGUUGCAAGGCGAACGAGGGGAAGUGAAACAUCUCAGUACCCUUAGGAAAAGAAAUCAAUUGAGAUUCCCUCAGUAGCGGCGAGCGAACGGGGAUCAGCCCAUUAAGUUAUGUGUGUUUUAGUGGAACGCUCUGGGAAGUGCGAACGUAGAGGGUGAUAUUCCCGUACACGAAAGGGCACACAUAAUGAUGACGAGUAGGGCGAGGCACGUGAAACCUUGUCUGAAUAUGGGGGGACCAUCCUCCAAGGCUAAAUACUCCUGACUGACCGAUAGUGAACCAGUACCGUGAGGGAAAGGCGAAAAGAACCCCUGUGAGGGGAGUGAAAUAGAUCCUGAAACCGCAUGCAUACAAGCAGUGGGAGCACCUUCGUGGUGUGACUGCGUACCUUUUGUAUAAUGGGUCAGCGACUUAUAUUCAGUAGCGAGGUUAACCGUAUAGGGGAGCCGUAGAGAAAUCGAGUCUUAAUAGGGCGUUUAGUUGCUGGGUAUAGACCCGAAACCAGGCGAUCUAUCCAUGAGCAGGUUGAAGGUUGGGUAACACUAACUGGAGGACCGAACCCACUGUCGUUGAAAAGCCAGGGGAUGACUUGUGGAUAGGGGUGAAAGGCUAAUCAAGCCUGGUGAUAGCUGGUUCUCCCAGAAAGCUAUUUAGGUAGCGCCUCGGACGAAUACCAUAGGGGGUAGAGCACUGUUUCGGCUAGGGGGUCAUCCCGACUUACCAAACCGAUGCAAACUCCGAAUACCUAUGAGUACUAUCCGGGAGACAGACUGCGGGUGCUAACGUCCGUAGUCAAGAGGAAAACAAUCCAGACCGCCAGCUAAGGCCCCAAAAUCAUAGUUAAGUGGGAAACGAUGUGGGAAGGCAUAGACAGCUAGGAGGUUGGCUUAGAAGCAGCCACCCUUUAAAGAAAGCGUAAUAGCUCACUAGUCGAGUCGGCCUGCGCGGAAGAUGUAACGGGGCUAAAACUAUGUGCCGAAGCUGCGGAUGUAUACUUUGUAUACGUGGUAGGGGAGCGUUCUGUAAGCCGAUGAAGGUGUGUUGAGAAGCAUGCUGGAGGUAUCAGAAGUGCGAAUGCUGACGUGAGUAACGACAAAACGGGUGAAAAACCCGUUCGCCGAAAGACCAAGGGUUCCAGUCCAACGUUAAUCGGGGCUGGGUGAGUCGACCCCUAAGGCGAGGCCGAAAGGCGUAGUCGAUGGGAAAAUGGUUAAUAUUCCAUUACUUCUGUGUAAUGCGAUGAGAGGACGGAGAAGGCUAAAUCAGCCUGGCGUUGGUUGUCCAGGUGAAAGGAUGUAGGCAUGUAUCUUAGGCAAAUCCGGGGUACUCUAUGCUGAGAUCUGAUAGCAAGCUGUACUUGUACAGCGAAGUGGUUGAUGCCAUGCUUCCAGGAAAAGUCUCUAAGCUUCAGUUACACAGGAAUCGUACCCGAAACCGACACAGGUGGUCAGGUCGAGUAGACCAAGGCGCUUGAGAGAACUCUGCUGAAGGAACUAGGCAAAAUGGUACCGUAACUUCGGGAGAAGGUACGCUGUUGUUGGUGAUGGAACUCGCUUCCUGAGCUGACGACAGCCGCAGAAACCAGGCCGCUGCAACUGUUUAUUAAAAACAUAGCACUCUGCAAACACGAAAGUGGACGUAUAGGGUGUGAUGCCUGCCCGGUGCUGGAAGGUUAAUUGAUGGGGUUAGCGUAAGCGAAGCUCUUGAUCGAAGCCCCAGUAAACGGCGGCCGUAACUAUAACGGUCCUAAGGUAGCGAAAUUCCUUGUCGGGUAAGUUCCGACCUGCACGAAUGGCAUAAUGAUGGCGGCGCUGUCUCCAGCAGAGGCUCAGUGAAAUCGAAAUCGCUGUGAAGAUGCAGUGUACCCGCGGCUAGACGGAAAGACCCCGUGAACCUUUACUGCAGCUUGACACUGAACUUUGACCUUACUUGUGUAGGAUAGGUGGGAGGCUUUGAAGCUGGAACGCUAGUUCCAGUGGAGCCGUCCUUGAAAUACCACCCUGGUAAUGUUGAGGUUCUAACUCUGUCCCGUGAUCCGGGACGAGGACCGUGUCUGGUGGGUAGUUUGACUGGGGCGGUCUCCUCCUAAAGAGUAACGGAGGAGUACGAAGGUGCGCUCAGCGUGGUCGGAAAUCACGCGUAGAGUAUAAAGGCAAAAGCGCGCUUAACUGCGAGACCCACAAGUCGAGCAGGUACGAAAGUAGGUCUUAGUGAUCCGGUGGUUCUGUAUGGAAGGGCCAUCGCUCAACGGAUAAAAGGUACUCUGGGGAUAACAGGCUGAUACCGCCCAAGAGUUCAUAUCGACGGCGGUGUUUGGCACCUCGAUGUCGGCUCAUCUCAUCCUGGGGCUGAAGCAGGUCCCAAGGGUAUGGCUGUUCGCCAUUUAAAGAGGUACGCGAGCUGGGUUUAGAACGUCGUGAGACAGUUCGGUCCCUAUCUACCGUGGGCGCUGGAAAUUUGAGAGGAUCUGCUCCUAGUACGAGAGGACCAGAGUGGACGAACCUCUGGUGUACCGGUUGUGACGCCAGUCGCAUCGCCGGGUAGCUAUGUUCGGAAGGGAUAACCGCUGAAAGCAUCUAAGCGGGAAGCCUACCUCAAGAUAAGAUUUCCCUAGGACUUUAUGUCCUCUAAAGAGCCGUUCGAGACUAGGACGUUGAUAGGUUGGAUGUGGAAGCAUAGUGAUAUGUGAAGCUGACCAAUACUAAUUGCUCGUGAGGCUUGACUAU